UACGUAGGUGGCGAGCGUUGUCCGGAUUUACUGGGCGUAAAGGGAGCGUAGGCGGACUUUUAAGUGAGAUGUGAAAUACCCGGGCUCAACUUGGGUGCUGCAUUUCAAACUGGAAGUCUAGAGUGCAGGAGAGGAGAAUGGAACUCCUAGUGUAGCGGUGAAAUGCGUAGAGAUUAGGAAGAACACCAGUGGCGAAGGCGAUUCUCUGGACUGUAACUGACGCUGAGGCUCGAAAGCGUGGGGAGCAAACAGGAUUAGAUACCCU
rnacentral:rRNA from 1 species